GUUGUGGGUGGAGUUGGAGGAUUUGCACCCCAAAUCACCAACCAAGGGCCUCGCGUGGGGACUGGAGAUGAGGAAUCCUGAAUGCCUGCACCUACUGUGUGCCUACUUUUGAGGUGCAAAAAAAUGUAGUGAUGUCGGAACCACUUGCUCUCGCAACCCUCACAAGCUGGUAAACACGGUAUUUCAACCUGGUGUGGCAAGCGUUAAUGAUAAAUAAUAGCAGUUAACAACAUAUACAGCUAGUUACAGAAAGUUUAUGUCAGGCGACAAGCUAAGCACAUUCCAUGUUACCUCAUUUAAUCAUUUUGCCGUUCCUAUGAAGUAGGUUAUGUUUUGUAUUUACAAAACAGAAGCUUGGAAAGGCCAAGUAACCUUCCCAGGCAAGUCAGGCAUGUGGUAUAAAUUGAAACCCUUUGUAAGGUGGAAGCGACCCUUCUCUAUCAGUUCAGCCUGCUGUUUUGCAAUUUCUUAAAUAUAAGAGAUAGAGACCAAGGACAGAAACUUGGGAUCCAAUGACAUGAAAGGAACAGAAAUAGGAAGUGAAAUCCCACGAGGAGAUGGAAGAAGCAGUGGAAGAGAACAAAGAGAGAGCUGGUUCUUAGGAUACAAGGGUGAACAGGGCUUUGAGAAAGGUCCUCUCUUGUGAUAUGAGGGCCCCUUUCCCUUCAGAUGCCACACUGUUCACCCUGCAGACUCAAGAGGCUGCUGUGGAAGGAAAACUCAGAGAAACAGAAAAGCUGAGAGGCUGCCUCAAUUCAUAAAGGGAAGCCAAGGUACUGGUUCUCCCUCUGCCCCCAGGGGGAGCUGCUUAGGCAUAAUUUGGAAACUCGUGGUUGCUCUUGUGAACCUGGGAGGGACUCCUCCUUACAUUUCUACCUGAAUGUACCAAUGUCCACCUCCCAGGACCUUCAGAUGAACAGGAGGGGAGUGGCAUUAUUUUGCUCAUUGGGGCUUGGCUUGCCUGUUGUUACUCUUCUCUGUCACCUACAUCUGGUUAUGUUGGGGCCAACAAGAGCAAAGCCACAUUA